rnacentral:rRNA from 1 species
UACGAGGGGUGCAAGCGUUAUUCGGAAUGACUGGGCGUAAAGGGUGUGUAGACGGUUCAUUAAGUCUGUUGUUAAAAACUCCGGCCUAACCGGAGAAGUGCAGCGGAAACUGAUGUGCUUGAGGAUGGAAGAGAGAAGUGGAAUUCCCGGAGUAGCGGUAAAAUGCGUAGAUCUCGGGAGGAACACCAAUGGCGAAGGCAGCUUCUUGGUCCAUUCCUGACGUUGAGACACGAAAGCGUGGGGAGCAAACAGG